CUCGCUGUCGAGGAUUGCCAUUGGAUUGUCACCAUGGCCCAAAGUAUGAGAUCCGGUAAAAACAUGGGUCGUAAGAUUCUCGCUGCUUUGACGUUGAUAGUGAUCAUUUCGGUGUUCCUCAAGGUCUCCUUCGUGCAUCAUCACGUCGAGAAACAAAGAGAGACCGGUCUUGUGAUCCGAAAGACAUUCAAAGAAGAUUGGGCUAUGGCUCAACGUGUUGUUGCCGAAAACGCAGCCUCCAUGCCCAAGCGCGUUUUGGAGAAAUACCCUACACCAGAAAUUUGGAUGAAACCAAAUAGUCACAAUUACUACCAAUGCAUCCCCCGUACUAGAAGUC
rnacentral:misc_RNA from 1 species